rnacentral:rRNA from 1 species
ACUCAAUAGAUACCCAGGUAGUCCACGCCCUAAACGAUGUCUACUAGUUGUUGGUGGAGUAAAAUCCAUGAGUAAACGCAGCUAACGCGUGAAGUAGACCGCCUGGGGAGUACGGUCGCAAGAUUAAAACUCAAAUGAAUUGACGGGGGCCCGCACAAGCGGUGGAUUAUGUGGAUUAAUUCGAUGCAACGCGAAACCCUACCUGGCCUUGACAUGUAACGAACUUUCCAGAGAUGGAUUGGUGCUCGAAAGAGAACGUUAACACAGGUGCUGCAUGGCUGUCGUCAGCUCGUGUCGUGAGAUGUUGGGUUAAGUCCCGCAACGAGCGCAACCCUUGCCAUUAAUUGCCAUCAUUUAGUUGGGCACUUUAAUGGGACUGCC